rnacentral:rRNA from 1 species
GCUGGCGGCAGGCCUAAUACAUGCAAGUCGAGCGCGCCCUUCGGGGUGAGCGGCGGACGGGUUAGUAACGCGUGGGAACGUGCCCUUCUCUAAGGAAUAGCCACUGGAAACGGUGAGUAAUACCUUAUACGCCCCCCAAUCAAAUUCCAUUUGGUUGACGGAAAUUCUGUUGAAUGCCGGAUGGCAUUUGAUGGGGGGGAAAGAUUUAUCGGAGAAGGAUCGGCCCGCGUUAGAUUAGAUAGUUGGUGGGGUAAUGGCCUACCAAGUCUACGAUCUAUAGCUGG